rnacentral:rRNA from 1 species
CCUACGGGGGGCUGCAGUGGGGAAUAUUGCACAAUGGGGGAAACCCUGAUGCAGCGACGCCGCGUGAGUGAAGAAGUAUUUCGGUAUGUAAAGCUCUAUCAGCAGGGAAGAAAAUGACGGUACCUGAUUAAGAAGCCCCGGCUAACUACGUGCCAGCAGCCGCGGGAAUACGUAGGGGGCAAGCGUUAUCCGGAUUUACUGGGUGUAAAGGGAGCGUAGACGGCAGCACAAGUCUGGAGUGAAAUGCCGGGGCUUAACCCCGGAACUGCUGUGGAAACUGUGCAGCUAGAGUGCAGGAGAGGUAAGUGGAAUUCGUGGUGUAGCGGUGAAAUGCGUAGAUAUUAGGAAGAACACCGGUGGCGAAGGCAGCUUACUGGACUGUAACUGACGUUGAGGCUCGAAAGCGUGGGGAGCAAACAGGAUUAGAUACCCGUGUAGUC